rnacentral:rRNA from 1 species
GACGAACGCUGGCGGCGUGCUUAACACAUACAAGUCGAACGGAGUGGCGAACGGUUGAGUAACACGUGGGUGAUCUGCCUUGCACUUCGGGAUAAGCUUGGGAAACUGGGUCUAAUACCGGCUAGUGCGAGCUGUUCUCGCGGCCUAUCAGCUUGUUGGUGGGGUAAUGGUCUACCAAGGCGUCGACGGGUAGCCGGCCUGAGAGGGUGUACGGCCACAUUGGGCCUGAGAUACGGCCCAGACUCCUACGGGAGGCAGCAGUGGGGAAUAUUGCACAAUGGGCGGAAGUCUGAUGCAGCGACGCCGCGUGGGGGAUGAAGGCCUUCGGGUUGUAAACUCCUUUCGACAGGGACGCGGUACCUGGAUAAGAAGCACCGGCUAACUACGUGCCAGCCGCCGCGGUAAUUC